rnacentral:rRNA from 1 species
UCUGUUUGAUCCUGGCGGAGGCUACUGCUAUCGAGGUUCGACUAAGCCAUGCGAGUCGAAUGUAGCAAUACAUGGCGUACUGCUCAGUAACACGUGGACAACCUACCCUUAGGCCUGGGAUAACCCCGGGAAACUGGGAAUAAUACCGGAUAUAUCGCGAAUGCUGGAAUGUGUCGCGAUAGAAAGCUCCGGCGCCUAAGGAUGGGUCUGCGGCCUAUCAGGGUAGUAGUGGGUGUAAUGUACCUACUAGCCUACGACGGGUACGGGUUGUGAGAGCAAGAGCCCGGAGAUGGAUUCUGAGACACGAAUCCAGGCCCUACGGGGUGCAGCAGGCGCGAAAACUUUACAAUGCCGGCAACGGCGAUAAGGGGACCUCGAGUGCCAGGAUACAAUCCUGGCUGUCGUAAUGCCUAAAAAGCAUUGCAUAGCAAGGGCCGGGCAAGACCGGUGCCAGCCGCCGCGGUAACACCGGCGGCUCGAGUGGUAACCGCUAUUAUUGGGUCUAAAGGGUCUGUAGCCGGCUGAAUAAGUCUCUUGGGAAAUCUGGCAGCUCAACUGUCAGGCUUUCAGGAGAUACUGUUCGGCUCGAGACCGGGAGAGGUGAGAGGUACCUCAGGGGUAGGGGUGAAAUCUUGUAAUCCUUGAGGGACCACCAGUGGCGAAGGCGUCUCACCAGAACGGAUCUGACGGCAAGGGACGAAAGCUAGGGGCACGAACCGGAUUAGAUACCCGGGUAGUCCUAGCCGUAAACGAUACUCGCUAGGUGUCGGCCACGGUGCGACCGUGGUCGGUGCCGUAGGGAAGCCGUGAAGCGAGCCACCUGGGAAGUACGGCCGCAAGGCUGAAACUUAAAGGAAUUGGCGGGGGAGCACUACAACGGGUGGAGCUUGCGGUUUAAUUGGAUUCAACGCCGGAAAUCUCACCGGGACCGACAGCGAUAUGAAGGCCAGGCUGAAGACCUUGCCGGAUUAGCUGAGAGGUGGUGCAUGGCCGUCGUCAGUUCGUACUGUGAAGCAUCCUGUUAAGUCAGGCAACGAGCGAGACCCA